rnacentral:rRNA from 1 species
GAUGAACGCUGGCGGUAUGCUUAACACAUGCAAGUCGAACGGGACUAUUCGUAGUCCAGUGGCGGACGGGUGAGUAACGCGUGAGAAUCUGCCCUCAGGUUCGGGACAACCACUGGAAACGGUGGCUAAUACCGGAUAGGCCGAAAGGUGAAAGAGAAAUUGCCAGAGGAAGAGCUCGCGUCUGAUUAGCUAGUUGGUGGGGUAAGAGCCUACCAAGGCGACGAUCAGUAACUGGUCUGAGAGGAUGACCAGUCACACUGGGACUGAGACACGGCCC